rnacentral:rRNA from 1 species
CAGCCGCCACGGUAAUACGAAGGGUGCAAGCGUUAAUCGGAAUUACUGGGCGUAAAGCGUGCGUAGGCGGUUUCUUAAGUCUGAUGUGAAAGCCCCCGGCUCAACCGGGGAGGGUCAUUGGAAACUGGGAAACUUGAGUGCAGAAGAGGAGAGUGGAAUUCCACGUGUAGCGGUGAAAUGCGUAGAGAUGUGGAGGAACACCAGUGGCGAAGGCGACUCUCUGGUCUGUAACUGACGCUGAGGAGCGAAAGCGUGGGGAGCGAACAGGAUUAGAUACCCCGGUAGUCCCUGUCUCUUAUAC